AUUUGGAAAUAGGUCAUUUCUUAAAAUGUCAACCAUCAAAACAAUCAGUUAUGUUAUUUAAGAAAAUGCGUUGCAAGUUUUGCUGACAUCACGGAGCACAUAUACAGCAGCGUCUCAAGAGGUUGGACCGGACUAAUGAACCUAGCAAGCCAAGCAGGGGACGAUCAGUCCGAUCUUCUCUUUGUUAAUUUUAACCAGGACUGCACAUCACUUGCAGUUGGCAAGAAAUCCGGAUAUAAACUUUUUUCACUUAGUUCUGUGGAAAAGUUGGACCAAAUUUAUGAAAAUGCCUGUGAAGACAUCUGUAUAGUGGAACGUCUGUUCUCAAGUAGUCUUGUUGCCAUUGUUAGUCUUUCAUCGCCCAGGAAACUUAAAGUAUGCCAUUUCAAGAAAGGUACAGAAAUAUGCAACUACAGCUAUUCGAACUCCAUAUUAGCUGUGAAGCUAAACCGACAGAGACUUAUAGUGUGUCUAGAAGAGAGCCUGUACAUCCACAAUAUCCGAGAUAUGAAGGUCUUGCACACAAUCAGAGACACUCCCCCCAAUCCCCAUGGUCUAUGUGCCCUUUCCAUUAACAAUGACAACAGCUACCUUGCCUACCCAGGCAGUAACCAGAUCGGAGAAGUUCAAAUAUUUGACACCAUUAACCUACGUGCUGUGACUAUGAUACCAGCCCAUGAUAAUCCUCUUGCUGCCAUUGCCUUUAAUGCUCAAGGAACCAAAAUAGCCACUGCUUCAGAGAAGGGCACUGUGAUAAGAGUGUUUUCUGUGCCUGAUGGUCAGAAACUGUUUGAAUUUCGAAGAGGAAUGAAAAGAUGUGUGCAUAUAUAUGCCCUUGCAUUUAGUUUCGAUUCAACAUACUUGUGUGCAUCAAGCAAUACAGAAACCGUUCAUAUAUUUAAACUUGAGACUCAGAAAGAGACUAGUGGCAGGGCCCAGGAGGAGCAGUCCAGCUGGUCAGGAUUCAUGGGCCAGGCCCUGAACAUCUCCAAGAACUACCUGCCUGGCGCUGUGUCCGACAUGUUCAACCAGUGGAGAGCAUUCGCUGUGUGUAAGCUGCCCUCUCAGGGCCUCAAGAACGUCUGUGCAAUAGCUAGUAUUCAGAAGAUCCCACGCCUGUUGGUGGCCUCCCAAGAUGGCUACCUUUAUAUUUACAACCUUGACCCUAAUGAAGGGGGAGAGUGCACUUUGUUGAGACAACACAGUUUGGAUGGUCGUAUAACUGAGGGAGGCAUGGUCUCUGAGCCCCCAGGUAGCGCCGCAGACCGCCCUCUCAUACAGGCCUCCAACCCAAUCAGUUACGCAGGCUCCGUACGUCGACCCGAUUCCGGCUCUGACAGCACCCCACCUCGCGGCCACACAGACUAUUCACCACUACCUGGCUCAUACUCCCAGCCAUUUCAAGAAUUUGAAGGUGGGGCAACAGGACAUGACGUUGGAAAUGCAGGAGCAGGCUUACAAGCGCUGCGAUUGGAUGAUGAUAAUGAGUUUCCUCCAAUGACUCAUAAAGUGGAAUGACUGCAAUCUUAUGUUGUGAAACAAUCUUAUUCAGCAAAUGAUCAUGGAAUGACAAAUAUGUUUGCCUAAGUUGUAAACAAUACAACAGUUUUACCAGUAAUACAAUGGAACAGGUUCUGAAUAAUUACAUGAGGAGCCUUUUUUUACAGAAGGUAUUCUUGUAAAGAAUUCAGUUUCCAUCUGUGUUAUAUAAUGUCAUAAAUAGAGGAAGCAUUUUGUCACGAGGGGAAAUUUUAAAUCUAUCACCUUUACAGUGUACAGGUGUGACCUUUAUUUAAUUGUUGACCAAGGUUGUAUAAGACCAUUUAACCAGGACUACAAACAAUCUCAAUGACAAAAGCCAGCUAAAUCUUCAUUGGAAAAGUUAAUAGUAAAUUCAAAACAUUGCUUACAUUUGAACACGUUUGUGUUGGCUAAUAUGAAAGAUAAAAUUGUUACUGAGAACAUUUGUAGUCUGAGUGUCCAUAUAUUAGUGUCUUGUCUAGUCUUUAUUGGAAAGUCCAUGCAAAUUUAAUUGAGGUACUUCUUGUUAAUUGGUACUUUUACUUACUUACACAUUUGCACUGUUACGUUUUAUAUUCGAAUGUAACUACAAUAUUUAUGCCCCCCUUCGAAGAAGAGGGGGUAUAUUGCUUCGCUCAUGUCGGUCGGUCUGUCUGUCGGUCGGUCCGUCCACCAGGUGGUUGUCAGACGAUAACUCAAGAACGCUUGGGCCUAGGAUCAUGAAACUUCAUAGGUACAUUGAUCAUGACUCGCAGAUGACCCCUAUUGAUUUUGAGGUCACUAGGUCAAAGGUCAAGGUCACGGUGACCCGAAAUAGUAAAAUGGUUUUUGAAUGAUAACUCAAGAACGCAUACGCCUAGGAUCAUGAAACUUCAUGGGUAGAUUGAUCAUGACUCGCAGAUGACCCCUAUCGAUUUUGAGGUCACUAGGUCAAAGGUCAAGGUCACGGUGACCCGAAAUAGUAAAAUGGUUUCCGGAUGAUAACUCAAGAAUGCAUACGCCUAGGAUCAUGAAACUUCAUGGGUAGAUUGAUCAUGACUCGCAGAUGACCCCUAUUGAUUUUGAGGUCACUAGGUCAAAGGUCAAGGUCACGGUGACCCGAAAUAGUAAAAUGGUUUCCGGAUGAUAACUCAAGAAUGCAUACGCCUAGGAUCAUGAAACUUCAUGGGUAGAUUGAUCAUGACUCGCAGAUGACCCCUAUUGAUUUUGAGGUCACUAGGUCAAGGUCACAGUGACCCGAAAUAGUAAAAUGGUUUUCGGAUGAUAACUCAAGAACGCAAACGCCUAGAUCAUGAAACUUCACAGGUAGAUUGAUCAUGACUCGCAGAUGACCCCUAUUGAUUUUGAGGUCACAAGGGUAAAGGUCAAGGUCACGGUGACCGGAAAUAGUAAAAUGAUUUUCGGAUGAUAACUCAAGAACGCUUUUGCCUAGGAUCAUGACACUUCAUAGGUACAUUGAUCGUGACUCGCAGAUGACCCCUAUUGAUUUUCAGGUCACUAGGUCAAAGGUCAAGGUCACAGUGACAAAAAACGUAUUCACACGAUGGCUGCCACUACAACGGACAGCUCAUAUGGGGGGCAUGCAUGUUUUACAAACAGCCCUUGUUAAAUUAUAGAUUUUGGUAAUAGUUAGUAGGUUUGAUUACAUUGGUAUUUUCUCUUCCAGUUGUAUUCUCAUAAAAAAAUCUUAUUAAGGCUAUAUGGUGCUGCAUUGUUUUACCAUUGUAAAAUGCUUGUUUUUGUUGUGGCUGGUUUAGACUACUGAUAUUGAGAAACUGAUUUGAUUUUCUGAAAUAAAACAACAAAUAUUUACAAAAAAAGUAUACAUUAUGUAAUUGAAUCAAAAAUAAAUGGUGAGGGGUUAAAACAACUAAAAAAAAAGUGAAAAUGAAAUUGCAACUUGUUGGUAAUAGAUUGCAUAAAGUUACCAUUAAUUACAAGGAAUGUAUGCUUUACUUAUGUUCCAAAGGUUGGAAACCAGCAAUACAUGUUGUGAUGUAACAUAAAUUCAAGUAAUUUAAGAUGUUUCAUUAUUAUUAUUUAUAAAUGAUGUGUCUGUUCUGUCAGAGUUGUAUGGCCUUAAUUUUAUGCUAGAAUGUCAAAUGUUUGGUGUAAUAAGCUGUACAAUAAUUUGUAUAUGGAAAGUGAAAGCUUAUAAGACUUUAUGAGCAGUUUCUUUCUUUUAAUGUGUAACACACCCAUUUGGUCAUUUUGACAAGCAAAUAUAAUUUUAUACAUGAAUUUGUUGGUGUAUUAUUCAUUGCAUUGUUUAAGAUUAAUAAAGUGUUGUAGUUGGCUUAAAUUUGGAAACGCCCUGUUAUAAAUAUGUGAUAGUGGUGUAUGUACAUGGCCUUGAUUGCAUUUUAUUAUUGUGGGCUAAUUUAGUAACUCUUACUAGAUCUACGUAAUUUCUGAAUACAAACGCAAAUACACCUGAGUCCGUGAGUGUAAUGUAUUGAUUAAAACUAUUACUUUCUAAAAACUAUAUUUUGUUCGUGGUUAUUUUUAUCACAAAGUUCGUGUUUGCUUGUGAUGUCAUAUAUUAAAUGAUGUGAUAUUGUAAGUCAUACAGUUCAAUUGAUGGUCCCUAAAACGUGUGUGUGGUGAUGUUGGUUUUCUUCAUACGAAAGAGGAAUGCAAUCCCCGGUCAAAUAAAACAAAUAAACACGACGUCUUCUAUUUAUUACACUGUGUUGUAGUCUGCUGCUUAUUCCACUAUUCAGAGAGGCUGUAUAUACGUUUAAGCUGUUAUAUUGUUUGAACGGCAUGGUCAUUUAAGAGAUUACCGGAUAAUGCCGCGUGCGUAUUUUAAUAUUUACAAUACCCUACCUUAAAUCUAAGACAUGGUUUUACAAUAAAUGUAUAUAACCAUCAUUGUACCUGUACAUUGCGAAUGGAAUGACUAUUGUUAUGUGAUUUUAAUACCACUUUUAAACAAACACCAUACACUCGGUAUAGUAUAUUUUGGCUAGCUGUUUGGUUUGUAUAAUAAAUAAUAUUUUACAUGUUU